rnacentral:rRNA from 1 species
UACGUAGGCAGCGAGCGUUGUUCGGAAUUACUGGGCGUAAAGAGUGUGUAGGCGGUGCUCUAAGUUUGGUGUGAAAUCUCCCGGCUCAACUGGGAGGGUGCAUCGAAAACUGGAGUGCUCGAGGGUGGGAGAGGUAAGCGGAAUUCCUGGUGUAGCGGUGAAAUGCGUAGAUAUCAGGAGGAACACCGGUGGUGUAGACGGCUCUCUGGACCGUAACUGACGCUGAGACACGAAAGCGUGGGUAGCAAACAGG